UCGGUGAUAACUGAUUGGCCCGUGAAGCAGCGGAAUUUUUGUUUCGUGUGAAAAAGGCAGUCGGUGAUAAUCGAUUGUCCCGGAAGACUACGGAUUUGGUCCGUGUGAAAAGACAGUCGGUGAUAAUCGAUUUGUCCAGAAAAUACAGAAUUGUCCGUGUGAACACGUCGGGUCGAUCCGAGGAGCCGGACAUUUUGGUGUUUUCUGGCCGGGCGGUGUGUUCUGCCUUUUGUGACGUGUCGGGAAUCAUCAACGAGGCGGUGGAUUGUCCUUCCGGUGAUUUCGGAACAGAACCAAGUGAUUUCGACGUUGUCGGAAGCUGAUAGGUGACCGGCUGGUAAUUUCUGUCGCUACGGGUGAGCGGGGAACGAGCCACGUGUUGCAGUACCUGGAAGCGCUGAUUUUUUGAGGUUAAGUUGCCGCUGUGUGGAUCUAGCGAAACCUGGAACCAGUUCAGAGAAGCAGCUCACGGACAUGAUGGGUCGAUUGACAACAGCUGGCGACAUG
rnacentral:lncRNA from 1 species